rnacentral:rRNA from 1 species
GACGAACGCUGGCGGCGUGCUUAACACAUGCAAGUCGAGCGAUGAAGUUCCUUCGGGAAUGGAUUAGCGGCGGACGGGUGAGUAACACGUGGGUAACCUGCCUCAUAGAGGGGAAUAGCCUUUCGAAAGGAAGAUUAAUACCGCAUAAGAUUGUAGUACCGCAUGGUGCAGCAAUUAAAGGAGUAAUCCGCUAUGAGAUGGACCCGCGUCGCAUUAGCUAGUUGGUGAGGUAACGGCUCACCAAGGCGACGAUGCGUAGCCGACCUGAGAGGGGGAUCGGCCACAUUGGGACUGAGACACGGCCCAGACUCCUACGGGAGGCAGCAGUGGGGAAUAUUGCACAAUGGGGGAAACCCUGAUGCAGCAACGCCGCGUGAGUGAUGACGGUCUUCGGAUUGUAAAGCUCUGUCUUCAGGGACGAUAAUGACGGUACCUGAGGAGGAAGCCACGGCUAACUACGUGCCAGCAGCCGCCGUAA